rnacentral:rRNA from 1 species
CAACGCCGCGUGAGUGAUGAAGGUUUUCGGAUCGUAAAGCUCUGUUGUUAGGGAAGAACAAGUGCCGUUCAAAUAGGGCGGCACCUUGACGGUACCUAACCAGAAAGCCACGGCUAACUACGUGCCAGCAGCCGCGGUAAUACGUAGGUGGCAAGCGUUGUCCGGAAUUAUUGGGCGUAAAGGGCUCGCAGGCGGUUUCUUAAGUCUGAUGUGAAAGCCCCCGGCUCAACCGGGGAGGGUCAUUGGAAACUGGGGAACUUGAGUGCAGAAGAGGAGAGUGGAAUUCCACGUGUAGCGGUGAAAUGCGUAGAGAUGUGGAGGAACACCAGUGGCGAAGGCGACUCUCUGGUCUGUAACUGACGCUGAGGAGCGAAAGCGUGGGGAGCGAACAGGAUUA